AGAGUUUGAUCUGGCUCAGGACGAACGCUGGCGGCGUGCUUAACACAUGCAAGUCGAGCGGAAAGGCCCUUCGGGGUACUCGAGCGGCGAACGGGUGAGUAACACGUGAGCAACCUGCCCCUGGCUCUGGGAUAGCCUCCGGAAACGGGGAUUAAUACCGGACAUUCUCCUUCUUCCGCAUGGUUGAGGGUGGAAAGUUUUUUCGGCCAGGGAGGGGCUCGCGGCCUAUCAGCUUGUUGGCGGGGUAACGGCCCACCAAGGCGACGACGGGUAGCCGGCCUGAGAGGGCGACCGGCCACACUGGGACUGAGACACGGCCCAGACUCCUACGGGAGGCAGCAGUGGGGAAUAUUGCGCAAUGGGCGGAAGCCUGACGCAGCGACGCCGCGUGGGGGAUGAAGGCCUUCGGGUUGUAAACCCCUUUCACCAGGAGCGAAUCCAGACGGUACCUGGGGAAGAAGCGCCGGCUAACUACGUGCCAGCAGCCGCGGUAAUACGUAGGGCGCAAGCGUUGUCCGGAAUUAUUGGGCGUAAAGAGCUCGUAGGCGGCCUGUCGCGUCCGCUGUGAAAUCCUGGGGCUUAACCCCGGGCGUGCAGUGGAUACGGGCUGGCUAGAGG
rnacentral:rRNA from 1 species